rfam:Ictidomys tridecemlineatus contig098416, whole genome shotgun sequence.
AGGGUUGUAGCUCAGUGGUAGAGCAAUCACCUAGCAUGUGCAAUGCCCUGGGUUCGAUCCUCAGCACCACAU